UAUUAACUUGAUGAAAAAGCAAGGGCCUGUUGCCUUCUUGUGGGAAAUCAUUUUUUUCAUUGUUAUUGGGUGAACCUCUUGAGUAGUUAAUGACUGAAGGUUCAUUAAAUGAUGGGACAUUAUAAUCAAUUGAAGAUGAGGGUAUUUAUAAGAGUAAGAGAUUAAUAACAAAAAAACAAACAAAAAACUAAAGCUAUUUCUUGGUAUUUCUGUUUCUUGAAGCAAUGAAGUUGACUUGGCAUUUUGUAGAUUAUAGUGUGGUUGACUAAAAUAUUUUAACUGAUGUUUUGGUUGGGAAAUCUGACAUAGAAUUUUUAUCUUUUUAAUAAUGUAUGUGAUAAUGAUCAUUAGUUUAGAAUGAUAACUACUACUACUUUUUGUGUUUAUUAGUUUUUAUUGAGUUUUAUGAAAUGUGGUUGAUUAUGAUACUAUUGUUUUGAGCUUUUAAUCUUCAUAAAUACUCAAUUGCUCAUUUUCUUCAACAGUUUCAUGGGAAAUUACUGGGCCAUUGGUUUUAUUUGGUAUACUUUCUGAACUAUAAUGUGUUUUUUAGAUUUAGUUAUACUGUGUUGGUAAUAAAGAACAAAUAGAUAAACACGUUUUCUAUUUGGAAAUCAUGGAUAGAUUUCUCAUUUAGUUGCCAAAUGAACUUCUAUUUCAACAUUUUCAAUUGUUCCACUCCACUAUUGUUGAAGUGCUCCAUUGCUUUUCAUGUAGCUACGUUCCCAUAUUUGGAGAAACUGAGUUUGAUCCGAUUCGAUAGUUUCAUUCAAUAGACAUAGAGGAAUAGCUUGAUGCUCUGGGCAGAGUUGUUGGUAAGGUUAGUGAAGCUAUUUAGGGAUGGCAAUUUGAACCCGACCCGACGGGAACCCCCUCCGACCCCGAUUAGAGCAGUUUUUCCUCGAAAAAUACCCCCAACGGGCUAAGGAUGAUAUUCGAAAAUGAAUCCCUGACAACUUUCGGGCCGGUGAUGGUGAUAGGUUCCCCCGCCCCGGCCCUAGCCCGACCCCAUCCCCAUCCCCGUUUUCCACUCAAACUGAAAUUACUAUUAUACCCCUCUAUCUCUCUCUCUCUCUAUAUAUAUGUGUGUGUGUGUGUGUGUUUUGGGUUUAGGUUCAAUUGCAUUCUCUUCUCUUCUCUCGUUUGUGUAACUGUGUUUGCUCACACGACACGGUUGCUGCUGUUGCGCCACUCGCUCUUUCUCACCAGAGACGACGUCAUCUCCAUUGAUGUCCCUGCUCCCUAAGGCUGGAAGAAGAAGGUUCAGUUCUCUCUCUCUCUCUCUCUUCGUAACCCUCCCUUUCUCUCUAGAUCUCUCACUUUCUCUCUCUAUUUCCCAAAGAGGGUUCAAGGUUUGCUUCGCUGUCUUAGAUCUCAAUGAUUUGAAUCUCUCAAUCGGUUUCUCUCUCGUAGAUCCGAGUUCUGAUCUCGGAGGUUCGAUCUCGCCACCAUGGCGGCCGCUAAUGCUCCGAUCAGCAUGAGGGAGGCCCUCACGUUGUCUAGUAUAGGGAUCAAUCCACAGUUUAUCACGUUCACUCAUGUUACCAUGGAAUCCGAUAAGUAUAUAUGCGUUCGGGGAUUUUUCGGGGUUGGGUAAACUUGAUCCCUAUUAGGGGGCAGGGGCGGGGGCGGGGACGGGGACAGGGACGAGGACGGUGAUACCUUCGGGGAUCGGGGAUGGGGAGUGUGAUCCUCGGCCUCGCCCUAGUCCAUUGCCAUUCCUAGAGCUAUCAGGGGUUUUGCUGCUUCUGUAGCCAUUAUCUCUGUACCCAUAUCAUUUCUAAUUUUCCUAAUAUAGUCGAAGAUGUUUUAUUAGAUCAAAUAUGUUAGGCUCAGUAAUGAAACGCCAUAUGAUGUCAUGAAGUUUCUUCACAUUGCCAAAUGUGGCCCUGGUUUUCCCUAAGAUAGUAUCUUUAUAGGUAUUAUAUGGUCAAUUCUAGGGCAGAAAUUAGAAACCCAUUAUUGGGGUGUGUGUGCAUGUGCUAUCUGCAAGCUGAGGCUAAUUGGUAACUCAUUUUCUUUGUUCCAAAAUUCAUCUAACGUCUUUGCUGAAAUUUUGAUUGUGAGCUGGUUGAAUGCUAUCAUCAUGAGAGGUAACCCUCCUCUCCUCCCCUCUUCUUUCCUCUCGCUCUCGCUCGCGCAGACCCUCACAAUCUGUCGCUCACUCUCUCAAACCCUCACAGACUCUCUCUAGCAGCGGCAGCGACUUCCCACCUCCGGCAUCCAGGUUCUUCAGGAGUCAGGACUACUUACUAAUGUUGUGGUUCAAAUUCCAAGGGAGCAUUUUGUUAUUUUGAUGGUUGUGAUGACACUUCAUGGGAAUGUUGAAAGUGAUUGAGCUCUGCAGGAUCUGAUGCAGCUUUAUUGUUGCACCUUUAAAUCUAAUCUAUUCUUUACUUUUUAGUUGUGUAAUAUAUAUUGUGCUGCUUUUGUAUGAUAUUCCUGUGGAAAGAUAUUGAGAAAUUGCCAUCUACAUUUGAAGUCCCUGUAUUUUAUUGCAACUAAUGACCUCUUUCUCUUUGGCAUACAUGGCUUUGUAGUCUUGUGGUAUUCAACUCCUUCAGUACUUCAUCAAUUGGAGAAGUCAAAUUGCUAUAUUCAUGGAGCGAGUCUCUUUAAAGCUUUGCAGAGGAUUUCAGGAAGGAUGCUAUGAUGGAGGAUUGGGUCAAGAAGUUUGAGAAGCUUGCUGGGUCUCAUGAGCAUUUCAACAACUUAAUCUGGUCCUGAUGGUAAAACUUGUUUGUAGACUGGAUGUGAUUUAGUGGUUUAUGGGUGAAGUAAGGGCAUCUAAGUAGGGAAAUGGCAUUCUCUCCCUGCUUGCUUGCUGAAUUUUAGGACUUGAUGCUGUCGUGUUUGGGGGGGAGAAAGAAGAAAGCUUGGAUUGUGGCAGCUUUAUGUAUUAUGUGGUGCAUGGGGAGAGAGAAAUGAAUAGACGUACUUUUAAAGAGACUAUGUUAAGGAGUUAAAAGCUUAACGUAGUUCUUUAGCAUAGUUAUCAUUUCUGGUGUAAAUGAAUUUUUUUUUUUCCUGCAUCCUCUUUUCUUCUUGUAGAUUCCAUAGGUGAGCUCAUUUUUUGUUUUAGGGCCUUUUUGAUCUCCCAAUAGUUUUUGUAUGAAGUCGAGUUUCGACGUAUUAAUGAGAAAAAACUUCAUGAACUCUAUUAUUUUUUUGAUAAGUAACUUGAUGAAAUCCAAAUCUUAGCCAAUAUAACUCAUCUACUUUCCAUAAAUAGAAGUGAUAAUAGUCAACAAAACUUAACAUACUCGACUAACUAGGCACAAAUGACUUGUAGGAAAAGACGGGACUAGAAACCGAUUCCUGGUUUUGAAUCUAGAGCCUAAUUUCCGUUUCUGAAAACUUGUCAUUUUAAAACUCUUUUUCUGAAUCUGUUGACACUAAAAUGCUCAAACGGUAUCGGAUGUCAACAAAACUUGACACACAUAGCUAACUAGGCACAAAUGACCUAUAGGAAACGACGGGAUUCAAAACCGAUGCUCGGUUUUGAAUCUAGAGCGUAAUUUCUGUUUGUGAAAAUUUGUCCUUUAGAAUUUUUUUUUUUCGAACGGGUCGACACACUAAAAUUGUCAAAUUGAGUUAGAUGUCAACGAAACUUGACACACACGACUUGCUGGGCACAAAUGACUUGUAAGAAAAGACGGAACUUGAAACUGAUUUUCGGUUUUGAAUCUAGAGCCUAAUUUUCAUUUGUAAAAACUUGUCUUUUAAAAACCCUUUUCUGAACCAGUUGACACACUAAAAUGGUCAAACGUCGUUGGAUGUUAACGAAACUUAACACACACGGCUAACUAGGCACAAAUGACUUGUAGGAAAAGACGGGAUUUAAAACCAAUUCCAGGUUUUGAAUCUAGAGCCUAAUUCCUGUUUGUGAAAACAUAUCCUUUAGAAACUUUUUUUUGAACCGGUUCACACUAAAAUGCUCAAACGACGUCAGAUGUCAACGAAACUUGACACACAUGACUAACUAGGUACAAAUGACUUGUCAGAAAAGAUGGGACUCUGUCUCUUGACAUUGAUUUUUUGUUCUGUGUUUUGUGUAACCUAUAUUGCCUUUUUAUUGUUGUUAAUCUCAUAUAUGUUUCAUGUCUACUAGCAUGAACUAUUAGGGGUUGCUGUAUCUGUGUUUAAGCACAAUUAUUUGGCUAAAUUUCUUAUUUUGUGUUUAUUUGAUUAUUGUUAGAUUAUAGCGGAAUGUGUUCAAUCAAUAUUUGAUUUUAAUAGUAUUAUCAUUAUUGUAGGAUGCAAUUAAAGUUUCUUUGGAUAUUUCACGUAUACCAACAGUCCAAUUGACGUAGGGACUUCUUAUUAGUGAUGAUCUGUUGUGUGAAAUUGAUGGAGUUCCAAUUGGGCCCAAAUAUUGCAUAGUCUUUAUCUUAAAAGCAAAAAAAAAAAACCAAAUGCUCAUUUG